rnacentral:lncRNA from 1 species
CACAUCCCAUGAAUCCAACCAAUUCGACCUCCCUAAUGCUCAGUUCACAUGACCGAUACUUACAGGUCUCUGCCAAUCCAAAUGGGGGCUGUACCUAUAAUACCUGAGAUUAUUGGACAAAAGCCCGUCAUGUCAAAAAUGUACAGAGUAUAAAACAACAUAUUCUAAGAAUUUACAUGUCGUAAUAAUAUUUUCAACAACAAAAUGAGAGAACAUUCAUCUUCAGUGUAAAAUCUAUAUAACGGUCGACAUGCUUUCAAGAAAGCAGUACGAGGAAGGACAGUAAUUUGAUAACAAAUGUUCAAGAACCUCUCAUGCUGCAGCUACAUUCAUCAAACGUAGGGCCAUAAGAGAGCUGAAGCUAGAAUAACUAUCAAGAUGGGUGAGAGAAUAUUGGUCAACAUUACAUGAAGAAUUCCGAAUCUACUAAAGUCCUACUCAAGCCUUUGAACUCUCUUUUCUACUGCAAACUUUGAUCCAAUUAUGAACAUCAGCAUCUAUAGGAUGCCACAUCAGAACAAAUAAUUAACUCUUCCAUAGCAUGACCUUGAAGUGAACUCAAAGCUUGAUUUACCCCACUAUCAAACUUAUGCCUUUCUAGAGCAAGUGGCUCACUUCCUAAACCCAAUUUCCAUUCAUAGUCCGUCAUUACGAGGGGAUUGCCAAAGUUCAAACAACCAGAAAACCACUUCCAUAAACAUCUCAAUCUAUGCUGGUCCUAACUGCUUCUUUUAUAGUCAAGCAAGACAAGACAUUUACAAGCCACUUGGACUUGUAGUCCAGUAGUGAACCAUUACCCUUAAAGUCAAGCAUGAUUAUGAGGGCAAUGGUUCGAAUUUUCACGGACUCAACCUCCCUCAAUUAAAUAUAAUUGUGUGAAGAUUACUUGUAACGUCUUUCUCCCUUGCGAAAUGUGAGUGGAGCAGAGACAUCCCUCUCCCGUGAGGGAUAUUUGGC